CUUGGCACAACCGCUUUUUAU
rnacentral:miRNA from 1 species